rnacentral:rRNA from 1 species
CCUUAACACAUGCAAGUCGAACGGGAUCCAUCGGGCUUUGCUUGGUGGUGAGAGUGGCGAACGGGUGAGUAAUGCGUGACCGACCUGCCCCAUGCUCCGGAAUAGCUCCUGGAAACGGGUGGUAAUGCCGGAUGUUCCACAUGAUCGCAUGUGAUUGUGGGAAAGAUUCUAUCGGCGUGGGAUGGGGUCGCGUCCUAUCAGCUUGUUGGUGAGGUAACGGCUCACCAAGGCUUCGACGGGUAGCCGGCCUGAGAGGGCGACCGGCCACAUUGGGACUGAGAUACGGCCCAGACUCCUACGGGAGGCAGCAGUGGGGAAUAUUGCACAAUGGGCGCAAGCCUGAUGCAGCGACGCCGCGUGAGGGAUGGAGGCCUUCGGGUUGUAAACCUCUUUUGUUUGGGAGCAAGCCUUCGGGUGAGUGUACCUUUCGAAUAAGCGCCGGCUAACUACGUGCCAGCAGCCGCGGUAAUACGUAGGGCGCAAGCGUUAUCCGGAUUUAUUGGGCGUAAAGGGCUCGUAGGCGGCUCGUCGCGUCCGGUGUGAAAGUCCAUCGCUUAACGGUGGAUCUGCGCCGGGUACGGGCGGGCUGGAGUGCGGUAGGGGAGACUGGAAUUCCCGGUGUAACGGUGGAAUGUGUAGAUAUCGGGAAGAACACCGAUGGCGAAGGCAGGUCUCUGGGCCGUCACUGACGCUGAGGAGCGGAAGCGUGGGGAGCGAACAGGAUUAGAUACCCUGGUAGUCCACGCCGUAAACGGUGGACGCUGGAUGUGGGGCACGUUCCACGUGUUCCGUGUCGGAGCUAACGCGUUAAGCGUCCCGCCUGGGGAGUACGGCCGCAAGGCUAAAACUCAAAGAAAUUGACGGGGGCCCGCACAAGCGGCGGAGCAUGCGGAUUAAUUCGAUGCAACGCGAAGAACCUUACCUGGGCUUGACAUGUUCCCGACGACGCCAGAGAUGGCGUUUCCCUUCGGGGCGGGUUCACAGGUGGUGCAUGGUCGUCGUCAGCUCGUGUCGUGAGAUGUUGGGUUAAGUCCCGCAACGAGCGCAACCCUCGCCCCGUGUUGCCAGCACGUUAUGGUGGGAACUCACGGGGGACCGCCGGGGUUAACUCGGAGGAAGGUGGGGAUGACGUCAGAUCAUCAUGCCCCUUACGUCCAGGGCUUCACGCAUGCUACAAUGGCCGGUAUCGGGAUGCGACAUGGCGACAUGGAGCGGAUCCCUGAAAACCGGUCUCAGUUCGGAUCGGAGCCUGCAACCCGGCUCCGUGAAGGCGGAGUCGCUAGUAAUCGCGGAUCAGCAACGCCGCGGUGAAUGCGUUCCCGGGCCUUGUACACACCGCCCGUCAAGUCAUGAAAGUGGGCAGCACCCGAAGCCGGUGGCCUAACCCCUUGUGGGAUGGAGCCGUCUAAGGUGAGGCUCGUGAUUGGGACUAAGUCGUAACAAGGUA